ensembl:snRNA U6 U6 spliceosomal RNA
CAGGUGUCUGAUAAAUUUAUUCCAAUAAAUUGGAAUGAUACAGAGAAGAUUGGCACAGCCCCUGCACAAGGAUGACAUGCAAAUUCGUGAAGUAUUCCUUCUUUUU